rnacentral:lncRNA from 1 species
GUGCAAAGAUGGUUAAACCAGUGUUGGAAUCAUUGAGCGCGGAGAACAAGUGGUUUUCCUCUUGGGUGGAUCUCAAAAGGCGGAUAAAGAUCGUGAAGUGGCCAGCCUUCUCAAGUAUUUUGGUGACGUUGGUGAUGCCGUGUGGUGCAGCAGCCUGUGUUGGGGUUGCGACUGGAGGUUGUGCUACGACUACUGCUGGUGCCUGUGCUGGGGCUGCUGUUGGUGACUGGGCAAAGGUAUUGAUAUAACAAAGGGAAAGAAGGAGCAUUGAAAAUGAGAAGAUUGAGUGCUGUUGCUUCAUCCUUAUUUUUUUGGGAUAAAAUGCUCGAAACAAUUCAAAUAUACUAAUGCAAAUUGAUCUCAAUCAUAAAGUGUUUGAUGUGUAAAGAUGAGAUAGAGUGAGGUUUUUAUAGUAGUGGACAGAGGAUCAAGUUAGGUGCAAUAUACAAUUUUAGUUAUACAACUAGAUUGCUAGUACCUUAUCUCACUCCAAAAGCUGUAGGGUCAUCAAUGGAGAGGGAAAUUUAACAAUGCUGCAGCAACUACUUUCCUUGGAAAAGCAGGCAAAAAAAAAAGGUUCUAAAAGGUAGAUUUCAAGUGGCUGUGACAACAAAUAAAGAUGUCCAUGAUUGUGAAUCAUCACUAGCAGAACAGCUGAGCAUGCUUCUUAACAUCAAAACAAAUCAUCUAUAAUGACAGAAGAUUUAGACAAGCGAUCUAAACUGACCUUUGUAUCGUAAAUAGCCAAGUCUUUGCUCUUUUAGCUUAAAAGAACGAAUAUUUACAUCCUUAAUCCUUGACAGACAUUGAUAGAUCACUAAUUUUCUAGAUUCGCACGCUCAGAAAUCAAAUCUCACACCAGACCAUCACUUAACACAACUUCAUGAAGAAACACUUACCUUAUGUACAUGAGCCCGUAGAGGUCAUGCUAUUGAUAAAAGUGAUUUUGCAGUAUGCAAACGCAAGUCUUGAAACUUUAAGAUAGCCAUUUCGAAGUAAAAGGAAUUGUGUUCUUUUACAUGAUGUUGAAUGGCAUAAUAGUCUUUUAUUCAUGGAGAGGAUGAAAGAAAAGGCAAGGAGCAGAAAAUGUCUCAGUUGGUUACUGUCAUCCCCAGUGUUUUAUUUAUAGAAGGAAACAAACAUUACAGAAAAUGAAACACUAAAGAAACGUACUAGCUAUGUUCUCCUUUAUCAAAGGAGUUAUAUAACAAGCUAGUCUAAUCCUAGAUAAGCUUAAACAAAUGAAUUGAAAGAAACAUCCUAAUCUAGAUAAUGCUAUCAGCUAACAGAUAAAUAGCUAUCAGCUAACAAAUAGAUAACAAUGCAGUAGAUUACUACAAAGUAAUCCUGUUCCAGCUUUGGUACCAAACUUCAACACUCCUCCUUGGUUCCAAAGCUACACAUUCCAAUUCUUCCUCUCAGAUCUUCAAACAUGUUUCCUGUUUCUAGUUCAACUGCUGCUUUGAAUUUAACAAACUCAGCAAACACAUAAGAUUUUGAUUUGAGGCAAGGGAUUCUGUACUAGAGCUCAAGCCUUUUAUUCAUGUUAAACGUACUAGGAUGAAUGGAUCAUGCUUCCACCAAAACCAUGAUUUUCCUCCAUAAUGCAGCAAAUCAUAGAAGGGUUUUUCUGGCAGUCGUCUGUCACAUUCAGUUUAUGAAAAUUGUGAUAUAACCUCGACAAUUUUACUGAUUGGAAUCCACUUCCUCAAGCUUAAAGUAACAAUCCUAUGCUCUCUAACACUCUCUUUUCUCUAAUUAUCAACACCAGCAGUUUUGAAACAGGAGAAAAGAACUUAACCUGAUGUGGGAUUGCUUAAACUAGAGAAAAAUUCAUUCUGAGGAAACUUAAAAGGUUCCUGUGUGAGAGCAAUACAGCAGAUUUGUUCACAUUAAGUUUAGUAGAAGUUCAAGAGAUAACCUAGUAAAGGUAGUUCUGUUUCAGAAGCCUGAUUUCUUGAUAAUUAGCAUUUUCUACUCUUUUGCAUUAUGUUCAGCCUCGCAUUCAAAUGUUGUCAGCAGAACCAUAUAUAAUCUUACAGAUUAAAGAGAACAACAUUUUGAUUCCAACCACUUCAAAAACUUGUAAUGAAAUAUUUGCUUUCACCAUUGUCCUGCAACCUCCUUUUCCUUUCUCUCUACCCUCCUUAAUGCAUGCUUUGUCUUCCCUGAUCGUCAAAUAAUCAUCUCAAUCCAAUAACUUAAGUUAUUAGAUGAGAUUCCAAGAUAUGAUUUAUAUCAUUCUCUAACACACACCCCUCAAGUAAAAGUCAAUUAAGCUUGAAACUUGCACAUGCCCACACUAUCUUGUGCUUAAUUUUUAUCAAAUAAAUAGGGAUGGUGAGAUUCAAACUCAUGACUGUUUGGUCAUUAAAGUUCUGAUACCAUGUCAAAGAAUCAUCUCAUCUCAAUAGCUUAAGAUGUUAGGUAAGGUUCUAAGAUAUGAUUUAUAUUAUUCUCUAACACACCUCUUCAAGUGAAAGCCCUUUAGGCUUAAAACUUGUACAGGUCCGCACUACCUUGUACUUAAUUUUUAUCAAAUAAAUAGGGAUGGUGAGAUUUCAAGAUAUAAUUUAUAUAUUAUUCUCUAACAUAUCACUUCAAGUGAAAGGCCUUUGAACUUGAAACUUGCAUAGAUCCAUACUACCUUGUGCUUAAUUUUUAUCAAAUAAAUAGGGAUGGUGGGAUUCGAACUCAUGAUCGUUUGGUCAUCAAGACUCUGAUAUCAUGUCAAAGAACCAACUCAACUUAAUAACUUAAAUUGUUAAGUGAGGUUCUAAAAUUUUGAUUUAUAUUAUUCUCUAAUAAUAUCGUGAUAGUUUGCCCCGUGCUCACCCUUAUUAGCCGACAUCCCCAUAUCUCUGCAUCAGAAAAAUCUUCUUUCUGAGGGAAGUAAUCCGAUAAACCUUCCUCCAGAUCCAGUAAGUUAAUGUUCAAUAAAAAAACAUAGCAACAACUAGCAAGCAAAAACUACAACCUCUUAAUAUGACAUCUCAGCCGAAAAAUCUCCGAAACCUCCAAAAAUCUCACUCCAUUUACUCCUCCGAUAACUAGACUUCCAAGAAAUAGAACCACCAACACAACCACUAUUAUCUAAGAAACAGUUAGGGCAUGAUUCGAUGACACCAGGGUGAUCAUAAAAAAACAACAAAUGAAGUUUGACUAAUCAAGUACAUGUUUAGCAAUUUGAUCAAGAAAUUAAAUAAAACCUCGAAACCAUAACCUAAAAUCAUACAAACUGGAUUCAAAGUAAAAUCAGAAUUAUUCAACACACACCAAGCUUUCAAUCCAACUCAGAAAAUUUAGACGCUGCCGGACCCAACCCAGCUUAUCUCAUCUCGAGAUUCAAACCCUUUUACAUUAUAAAGCAAAGAUUGCAGCAGCAACUGCACCAACUGAUCCAACCACGUUAUUACGCGUGAACAUGACUGCGCCAGAUAUAUCCACUGGAGCAACAGGACUCUCAACAUUAGCUGCAGGAACUGCCUUAGUAGGCUUUUCUGGUGCGGGUGCUACUGGUGCUGGAGCUGGGGCCUUAGAAGCAAAAAUGUCCUUAGGAAGUAGCACCUUCUCAAUCUUAUAAAUGGCUAGCUGGUUGUCCGUGUAUACCGUGCCAGAUAAACUUGUAUUGGUAAGUCCUGUGGUUAUGUUCACCGAGUUUGGAUAACUUGUUACGUUAAGUGGUAACCUACUACCUGUUCCAGCCCAUGUUCCAAGAGGAUUACUUACAGUCUGAAACUGGGAAGUGGAUAGGAAUGUUGGAACUACGUGGAACUUCACCAACUCAGACUUGUCACCAUCACUUAGAGUAUUGAGAGUUCCUGAUUUGAGUUCCGAAAAUGCACUAUCUGUGGGUGCAAAGAUGGUUACACCAGAGCUUGAAUCAUUAAGCGCGGAGAACAAGUGGUUUUCCUCUUGGGUGGAUCUCAAAAGGCGGAUAAAGAUCGUGAAGUGGCCAGCCUUCUCAAGGAUUUUGGUGACGUUGGUGAUGCCGUGUGGAGCAGCUGCCUGUGUUGGAGUUGCGGCUGGGGGUUGUGCUACGACUACUGCUGGUGCCUGCGCUGGGGCUGCUGCUGGUGACUGGGCAAAGGUAUUGGUAUAGUGGAGGAAAAGAAGGAAAACUGAAAUGGAGGAGAUUGAGUACUGUUGCUUCAUCUUUAAGUUUCCAGGCUAUUCUACUAGAAACUAUAAAAAAAAUGCUUAUGUAAAUUGAGCUCGAUCUUAUUUAGAAGUGUUUGAUGUCUAAAGAAGAGACAGAGUGAGGUUUUAUAGUAGUAGGCAGAGGAUCAAGUAAGGUGCCAUGUACAAUUUCAGAUAUACUAUCUAGUACCUUAUCUUGCUCCAUAAGGUGGAAGGUCACCAAUGGAGAAGGAAAUUUAACAUUGCUGCUCCAACUACUUUCUGAAUUAUCACUGGCAGAACAUUUGAGCAUAAAUGUGAACAUCAAAACAAAUCAUCUGUAAUGACAGAAGAUUUGGACAAGCAAUCUCUACUGACCCAUCUCUAUAUCUAAAACUGCUAAGAAUUGUGUCUUUAAGACAUGUCCUGAUGUUUUGAAAUAAAUGAGUAGGAAAAUGCAACAAAGUCCUUGGAGGCUUAAAAAUGGAUAUAAAUGAACGAGGGAGGGGUAUUGUAAUAAUUGAAUAAACAUAAUAAGUAUAAAUAGAAAAAAAAAAAAAAAAAAGAGAUCUGAAAAUUUUGAGAGAUAACCGGCAGGAGUGAAGGGAGAAAAAAGAAGAAGAAGAAGAAAAAAGAGGGAAAGAUAAGGGAAAUAGAAGAGAAUUAGAGAAAAUAAGCUUAAAGUUAAGAUUAUGUAUAAAUGUGUGUUCUUUAAGCUUUAAAUUUCUGUUUUGUUGAAUGUUAAGGUUUUAAAGAUUGUGUUUUGGUUGAUUGAUGAAUUGAUUUGAAUGUUAUGGGUUGAUUGUUAUGGGUAAUGAAUUGUUUAGUUGAUUUUGAAAGAUUUUAGGUAAAGAUGAUGAUUUUGAAUUAUGAUUUUGUUUAAAUGGUGAAUUUGAGUUAGAAAUCUUGAUAUAACAGUAGGUAAUCUGUGAAAUUCUGGGUUUGAGGUUGAAGAUGACAAAAUUUAGUUUGGUCCCUCAAUUUGUGAAAAUUACAAGUUAGUCCCUAAACUUUGUAAAAAAACACAGAUUGGUCCCUGGAGCAUAUUCCGAGAUUCUGGACAGAAUAAAAGAUGAAUUAUGGGCAGAAUUCCAGUAUAAUUAUGAAUUUUUAACACUUUCAAUUUGGUCCUUCCAUUUGACAAAAAUUACAAUUUGACCCUAAAAAUUUGGAAAAAUUCCAGAAUGGUCCCUGGAGCAUAAUUAGAGAUUCUGGACAGAACUGAUGAUAAAUUAUGGACAUAAUACCACUAUAGUCAUGAAUUUAUGAUAUUUUUAGUUCGGUCCUCCAAUUUGACAAAGUUACAAUUUGACCCUUAAAAAUAUAAUAAAUUCCAAAUUGGUCCCUAGCUGUAAUAUUAGCUUUUGCAAAUUGGUUUGAUGAAUAAUUGAGGAUUAUUUAGUGAAUUAUUAUCAAGUCUUGUUAUUUGUUUUAUUAUGAAUUAGAUUUCGGGAAUACUAUUUAAUUUUGGGUUUUUGGAAAAAUGACUAGUUUAGUUUAAAAACAUAUAGGGUUAUGGAAUAGACCCUUAUUUAAGUGUAUUAAAUAGGUUGAACGUUCUUUUCGAGUCGUUUUUUAAUAUGUCUCCUUUGUAUUCAGAUAAUCUUGAUAUUCUAUCGACAAGACAUUAGUAGGAUUUUCUUCGGUAUCUGCUUUCGAGUUAUGUUUGCUUUCGAGUCAGAUGAGUGGAUAAUUUUCCAUAUGCAUGAGAAAUAUUAUAAAUAUUUGAUUUGUUAAUAUGAAUUGGAUCAUGCUUCUUGAUAAUAUAUAUGUUGAUUAUUAUCUUUGUUACGAUAAAGCAUGAUCAAUUGUUGAAUCUGAAUUCUUGAUAUGAACUAAUAUAUAUUUUGAAUUGACUUUUGAGUUGAUAGCUCCUCAUUUGAUUAAUGUCAUGAGUUGAGCCUUGAGAUAUGAAUAUGUCUGUUUGAUUAUGAUUAUGAACUUACGGUAUGUCAGUCAGAAUACUCAUGCUAACAGGGUAGUAUUAGUCUUUGUGCACAUCGUAUCUGAACCCUAGUUGGUCGGGGGAGUCACAACCUAUGUGGACUGAUCAUCCCACAAUAUUACGGAGCCUCAUGCUCAUUGCAUUUUGAUUUUGUGACGAGCUUUACCUUAUGAUAUUUUUGUUAUUAUCUAUUUGAGAAACCUUUCUAUAAGAACCUAGAGUCAUAAUUGUAUAUAUAUUUCUCAUUGUUGUAUUACCUCUUGUGUGUAUAUUGAACGUUAUCUACUCACUGAGUUGUUGAACUCACCCUCUCAUUAUUUAUCUUUUCAGGCUUAUAGCUUGUUAGCGGGUCAUUUUGUUGGACCUUCAGGACCUGCUUUUUUGUUGAAAUUUGUAUUUUUUCCUUAUGUCUAGUUAGUGCUCCACAACUAUGAAUUUAUAUUAACUCUUGUAUUAAAAUAAUCAAAUUAUAUAAUGAAGUUAAUUUUGUUAUUAAUGUUGCGUUGAACUCACAUUGAGGUAUUUGAAGGUUAAGUUUGUAUGUAAGUCUGGGUUCGUAUAGGUAUAUGGAACCUUGAAGAGGAACUUUACUUGUGUGCCGGUCAUGGAUCUGGGAAUCGGGUCAUGACAUGUCCAACCUAAAACUCUGCCAAAAAAACAUCUUUUAGCUCAAAUGCUUAAGAUUUAAAGAAGAAAAAAUAAAAAUGUUGAAAUUCAAACUUGUUUGGUCAUUAAGUCUCGUGGUAUAAAAUAAGAAUUUCAACUCAAAAGCUGAAAUUAUUAGGUGAAGCAUCAAUAUAUAAUUUUUGUUAAUAGGUAUCACAUUCAAAUGCAGUUAACAGAACUGUAAAGUUACGGAUUGAAGAUAACUACAUUUUGAUUUGAACUAUGCUUGUAAGAGUUCGAAAAUCACAACGAAAAUAUAUGUUUUCACCAUUGUCCCACAACAUGUAUGAAUUAAUUUGUAUACUUUAAUCUCCUGUGAAAAAUUGAAUAAACAGCUGUUAGUUCACACUAACUUAAUACUGACUGGAAACGUUAAGACUGUAACAACAACAAAGGAUUAACGUAUUCCUGCAACAUGGUACAGUAAGAUGCUUUGGCAUGAAAUAUUUGCUUCAAUGAAACUGUAAUGUUUUGAAUUAAUGAAUUGGAAAAUACAACAAAGCCCUUUGUGGCUUAAAGUGUGGGUAUAAAUGAAUGAGGGGUAGUGUGGUAAUUAGAUAAACAUAAUAAAUAUAAAUAGAAGAAAAAAAACAAAAGAAGGAUCUGAAAAUUUAAGAGAGAAUCGGCAGAAGAGAAGGGAGAAAGAAGAAGAAGAAGAGAAAAGAGGGAAUUAAAAGGGAAAUAGAAAGGAGUUGAAGAGAAUAAGUUUAAAGGUAAGAUUUAGGUUGUUAAAUGUAUAAAUGUAUGUUAAUUGAACUUAAUUUCAGUUUUGAUAAAUGUUAGGGUUUUGAAAAUUUGUGUUUUGGGUUUAAUUGAUGAAUUAAAUUGAAUGUUAUAAGGUUGAUUGUUAUGGGUAAUUGAUUAAUGAGUUGAUUAUGGAAGAUUGUGAUGAUUUUGAGUUAUGAAUUGUGUAAAUGGUGAAUGUUGAGUUAGAAAUUUGGCAAGAACAGUAGGUAAUCUGUGAGAAUUCUGGGUUUGAGGUUGAAGAUGACAAAAUUUCGGUUUGGUCCUUUAAUUUUGAAAAAUUACAGAUUAGUCCCUAGCUGUAAUAUUAGCUUUUGCAGAUUGAUUUGAUGACUAAUUAAGGGUUAUUUAGUAAAUCAUUAUCAAUUUUAUUAGUUGUUUUAUUAUGGAUUAGAUUUCGGGAAAACCGUUAAAUUUUGGGUUUUUGAGAAAAUUGACUAGUUAGUUCAAAAACAUAUAGGGUUAUGAAAUACACCCUUAGAUAAGUGUAUUAAAUAGGUUAUAUAUUCUUUUGAGUCAUUCUUGAAUAUGUCUCCUUUGUAUUCAGAUAAUCCUGAUAUUCUACCAGCGGGACGUCAGUAGGAUUUUCUUCGGUGUCUGCUUUUGACUUCUGUUUGCUUUUGAGUCAGGUGAGUGGAUAAUUUUCCAUAUGCAUGAGAAAUAUUAUAAAUAUUUGAUUUGUUAAUAUGAAUUGGAUUAUGCUUCUUGAUAAUAUAUAUGUUGAUUAUUAACCUUGUUUUGAUAAAGCAUGAUCAAUUGUUGAAUCUGAAUUCUUGAUAUGAACCAGUAUAUAUUUUGAAUUGAAUUCUGAAUUGAUAGCUCCUCAUUUGAUUGGUGUCAUGAGUUGAGCCUUGAGAUAUGAAUAUGUCUGUUUGAUUAUGAUUAUGAAUAUAUGGUAUGCCAGUCAGAAUACCCAUGCUAACAGGGUAGUGUUAGUCUUUGUGCACAUCGUAUCUGAACCUUAGUUGGUCGGGGGAGUCACCAACCUGUGUGAACUGAUCAUACCACAGUACGGAGCCUCAUGCUCAUUGCAUUUUGAUUUUCUGACAAGUUUUACCAUAUGACAUUCUUGUUAUGGCCAAUUUGAGAAACCUUUCUGUAAGAACCUAGAGCCAUACUUGUAUAUAUAUUUCUCAUUGUUGUAUUACCUCGUGUGUGUAUUGAACGUUAUCUACUCACUGAGUUGUUGAACUCACCAUCUCAUUAAUUAUCCUUUUCAGGCUUAUAGUUUGAUAGCAGGUCACUUUUGUUGAAACUUCCGAACCUGCUUUUUGGUUGUAAUUUGUACCUUUCUUUUAUGUCAAGUUAGUGCUCCAAAACUAUGAAUUAUAUUAACUCUUGUAUUAAGACAAUUCAAUUAUAUUAUGAAGUUGAUUUUGUUAUUAAUGUUGCGUUGAACUCUGAUUAAGUUAGGAUAAGUUUGUGUGUAAGUUUAGGUUCGCAUAGGUAUGGAACCUUGGAGGGGAACCUUGCCUAUGUGCCGGUCAUGGAUCCGGGAUUCGGGUCGUGACAGAAACCAUACAACCUCCCCACCUUAAAUUGAAUAGUCUCUGGUGAUCCAAGAUUUGGACAAGGAAUAUCAGGCAAUUCAUCCUUGUUAGUGAAGGAACUAAGUUUUAGCUCUUUCAGAUUUCAAUAGCAAUUUUUUACGUUCUUCAUUUACCUCCAACCUUCAAGAGAUACGCUCUCCGAACUCACACACCCAGAAAACAAGUCACCCACAAAGUCAUCUGCUAAAAAGCAAUUUCCAAGAAACGUUGUCACUGACCUCAGGAAGUCAAGCCCCAUGAAGGCAAUACUCAUUAUUUUGUACUGAAAAUAAUAUUUAAGCCUCAAAAUCUUAACACAUCCAUUUCUUAGCAUAAAGGAAGAGAAAAGUCUCCGAGGGAGAAAUUGAAGUAAAUUUCAUGUACAUUGCCCUUAAUGGCAUAAUCAAUCCACUGGGGAUACCAGAGCGAAGACAGAAUUUGAAACGGGAAGAGGAAGGAGGGUAUUAUCAACAAAUUCGAUGCAAACGGGGAGGGAAGUGCGGUGGGAGUUGUGAGAGUCAUCAUCAUACUAUUAAUAAAGACUAGUAAACAGGAAUUUGGAUGCACUAGCUAUAAGCUAGUCAGAAAAGAUCAAGCAUGAUCAUUCGCAUGAAAUGCUGGGGGAGGGAAGAACUUCCGAUUGAAUAAAACUCAAUAAGUUCAUGAAUCAUACUUCUUCGGAUCGAAAUGGGGGGGGAAGAACUUCCGAUUGAAUAAAACUCAAUAAGUUCAUGAAUCAUACUUCUUCGGAUCGAAAUAAAUCAUCUCUGGCAUUUCUCUGCUGCUUCCUUCUUACUGUUUUUCUCCCUGGUCAGUGGUGACAAUCUACUUCAAUCUCUUUCGGCCUCCAUUAUCUCAUAACUCACCUUCCUUCAUUCCUCCACCAAUCUUGCAAUCACUUUUCCUUCGCUUCAUAUUUCCUGCAAGCUUUCUCUCCUCUGCUAUCAUGAUACGUUGCCCCAUAUUCACCCCACUUAGCCAACACCCCCCUAAGAUCGGAUCAGAAGAACCAUCCCCAGAGGAAAUAACCCUAAGAACCUUCGGCAAGUUAAUAUCCGCGAAAAAAGAUGUCAACAGCUUGCAAGCUUUUGCAACCCCCUGAAUAGGACUUCUCAGCUUGACAACCCUCGUCUCCUCCAAAAAUUCCACUUACUACUCAUCCUCCAGUAAGUAUUCAUCCUCCAGUAAGUAUACUUCCCCAGAAAUUGAUUCACCAAUCCAACCACCAUUAUCUACCCGAAAACUAGGAAAUGAUUAGAUGACACCCGGAUUAUAGUAAAAAAAAAAAAUUGAAAUUUGACUAAUCAAGUACCAAGAAAUUAAAUAAAAUCUCAAAACUCAAUUUUAAUCGUAAACUCAAAGCAUACAAACUGGAUUCAAGGUCAGAUCGAAAUUACUCAACAGAUUCAAUACAGCUCAGAAAAAUAUAACAUCAAAACCAGACCAAACCCCACCAAAUUUCAUCUCAAGAUUCAAACCUUUAUACAUUACAGAGCAAACAUUGCAGCAGCAACUAUGCCAACUGAUCCCACCACAUUAUUAUGUGCGAACAUAAGUGCACUAGAUAUAUCCACAGGAGCCACGGGACUCUCUACGGUUGCUGCAGGAACUGCCUUUGUAGGCUUUGCUGGUGCAGGUGCUACCGGUGCUGGAGCUGGAGCCUUUGAAGCAAAAAUGUCCUUAGGAAGUAGCACCUUCUCAAUCUUAUAAAUGGCUAGCUGGUUGUCCGUGUAUACUGUGCCAGAUAAACUUGUAUUGGUAAG